AAAAAUCUCAAUCAAGCAGAGAGUCUCAAGCAUCUGCUCAAACUCCAUUUGUGUGGAGCAAUUUCCUCACCAGGGACCAGGCCCAAAUUAGAUUUUUGUUGGCAAGUUCAGCUAUUUACAAAGCAAAAGGUAUCAUGGCUCAAGAUUUGAGGAAGAAAUCGUCAAGAGAUAUGCUGGACCCUAUAUCAGAGAGAUGCAGACAAUGACCCAAAGCACACUGCCGCCCAGGUUUGCGUCGCAAAUGAGGGCAUAAACUGGGUCAAGACGCCAGCAGAAGUUUUUGCAGAUUUCAGUAGGCAGGUGGAUCUGAGCCCGCUUGAGACGAACUGUAGGUUUGAUUCGUGUGGGUGGAAUGACAUGGCUUGUUCUCCUUUGGAGCAGGCUGCUAAGGAGCGUAAAAAAAGCAGGCAUCUGUGUGAACUGGAGACAACUCACCAAUGGGACCUGUGUUGUCGGGUGCCCAACAGGGAUGGUGUACAUGGAGUGUCAAGGCCAGUUGGAUGACUACUGUUGUGGAGGGUAACUGAAUUCUGCUACCUUGCUCCUUAUAAUACUGUCUUGGUCGGUGUGUUGAGGGUAUACUGUACGGUAAGUGCAGAACAAUGGCUUAAUGUUUCCUUAGUAUAAUAGGUUUUUCAGCUAGUGCACAUCGGUCAUAAGGCCUUUUCUAUAUUGCAUAUACUCUGUUCCGGUGCAGGAAGUUGACCAUUGUAUGUAGCAUAUUGUUGAUUGUAUGUAUUCCAUAGAUUUCACAUAGGAAAUCUUCUAAUGAUCAACACAGCACUUUUAGCACUUUUUAAUCUAAAAGACUGCAUCUCCAAUUUUAAAAUGAUUUUCUUAUUUUAUUGAAAUGUUUAUUUUAGUUAUACGAGUUCUGUAUGUUCGCCAAUCGUUUCAUGAACUGUAACCACAUUGAUUUUGCUG
rnacentral:lncRNA from 1 species